GACGAACGCUGGCGGCGUGCUUAACACAUGCAAGUCGAACGGAAAGGCCCUGCUUUCGUGGGGUGCUCGAGUGGCGAACGGGUGAGUAACACGUGAGUAACCUGCCCUUGACUUUGGGAUAACUUCAGGAAACUGGGGCUAAUACCGGAUAGGAUCUCCUGCUGCAUGGUGGGGGUUGGAAAGUUUCGGCGGUUGGGGAUGGACUGGCGGCUUAUCAGCUUGUUGGUGGGGUAGUGGCUUACCAAGGCUUUGACGGGUAGCCCGCCUGAGAGGGUGACCGGCCACAUUGGGACUGAGAGACGGCGCAGGCUCCUACGGGAGGCAGCGGUGGGAAAUAUUGCACAGUGGGCGGAAGCCUGAUGAAGAGACGCCGCGGGCGGGAUGACGGCCUUCGGGUUGUAAACCGCUUUCGCCUGUGACGAAGCGUGAGUGACGGUAAUGGGUAAAGAAGCACCGGCUAACUACGUG
rnacentral:rRNA from 1 species